rfam:Sorghum bicolor cultivar BTx623 chromosome 10, whole genome shotgun sequence.
GUAGUCGGAUUCGCAUCAAUCCACAUAUGUUGAGGUGGAUUGAAGUGUAAUUUAAACUAAAUUUCACCUCAAUCCACUCCAACACGUGGAUUGAGGUGAAUCCGACG